GUGAGUCAUCGAAUCUUUGAACGCAUAUUGCGCCCUUUGGUAUUCCGAAGGGCAUGCCUGUUCGAGCGUCAUUAUCAACCAUCAAGCCUGGCUUGUCGUUGGACUUGGUUGUCACGACCAGUCCGAAAGAUAAUGGACGGCGCUGAUUAGCCCUCAAUGCAACGAGCUUUAAUAGCACGCAUGGAACGGUUGUCACCCCGGCCUCGCACUUUUUUUUCAGGUUGACCUCGGAUCAGGUAGGAAUACCCGCUGAACUUAAGCAUAUCAAUAAGCGGAGGA
rnacentral:misc_RNA from 1 species